UGACACUGGGGAGUGGGUGAAACAUUGGUGACUGGUAGCCCUGCCUUCCACCACCUUAUCAAGUUUCGUUUCUUCUGCUGAUGGGCCCCACUGAUAGCAAACUGGGACGAAACUCUGAGCAUAGACUGCUUUUGCCAGGGACGUAUGGAAGAAAAUAAAUUUAUAGAAAUAAGGGUAUUUAUUUCACCAUAGAGAUAAUUCCCUCACUGACUACAACAACCAUAGAAAGGAGUAUUAUGCCCAAAUUACAAGAAAUGAUGAUGUGUAUCAGGUGAAUUUCGGGUUAAAGGCUGGGGGCAGGGCAGGAAUACAAAUGGCACUCAGUUUUUGCCAGGAUGGACCAGAGAUCAAAAUCUAUCCAGAGAACGCCUUUGCAGUUUUCUUCUUCCCACGAGGUGCCCAGUUCCUCAUAUAAAUGUCAACAUAAAGAAGAGAGAUGACUUUCCUAUGCAGCCCAUCCAAAUUACGCGGGCCUCUCACUGCCGUGGCUCUCCCGUCGCGGAGCACAGGCUCUGGACGCGCAGGCCCAGUGGCCAUGGCUCACGGGCCCAGCUGCUCUGCGGCAUGCGGGAUCCUCCCGGACUGGGGCACGAACCCGUGUCCCCUGCAUCGGCAGGCGGACUCCCAACCAGUGCGCCACCAGGGAAGCCCCCUCAGGAAAAUCUUGAUCAAAUGGAUUUUGAACAAGCCUGGAUCAGGGAGAGCUCUGUGUUGCUUCUGAAGGAAUCAAUGCCACAAUAUACAAUUUUACACACUUUACUGCAUUAAAUAGAUUCUGUGUUUUCUUAAAUAUACACUAGUUUUUAAGAUGUUUUCCAAUUAUGCAAUUAAAUGAAAUCAGAAAAAAAUCCUCAAACUAUAAUAUAUACUUUGCUUCAAAAUUAUAAUAUGUUAAAACAUCCUAAAACUUUGACCUACAUUUCUGUCACCAGUAAGAAACUCAGACUAUAUUGUGGAAAGUAUAUUUUCAUGUGAAAAUUAUAAUUACAUUAUUAGGUACUGUGAUGCCUACUGGAUUAAGCAAGUAAAUGCAUUUCAUAUAGGAGAAGAUUCAAUAAAACUUGGUGUGCCUAAGAAGUUAUUAGAUGUUUAUUGUAACAUGCCUUGUAAUAUAUUAGUUUUAUGCAGUUUUACAUUUUUAAAGUUUGCCAAUAAAAUAUGUACUGCAUAUAGAAUUUUAGACUCAAUUUAAAUUAUUGAGUGUAUUACUAUUCAUAGCCUUAAAAACAAACUUUACUUGAAAUUAACUGUUUAAAAAUAUAGCAUUUAAGUAGUAUUGUUAACUGUUUUAUCUCUAAAAUACAUAUUUUGCACUACUGAUAAAACUGCCUCUACUUUAAGUAUUGGAAAUACCAAAGCUGGGUGUCCAAAACUAGUUUAAUAUGCACAUAGAUAUUUGUGACUUCUUCAUGAGUAAGACUUCUUGACCUACAUCAGUAAGCUUUGAUUUGUUUUCUAGUCAUGGUUUAUAUAUAUAUGUUGAGUGAAUCUAUGAUUAACAUUUUAUUUCUCCACCUAUCAUUAACGAGUGCUUAUCUGUGAUAGACAUUGUAUUGCACAUGGAGGAAUAAGCAUAAAUGAGAUUACCAUUCCUGCUUUUAAAAGGCUUUCAGUCUUGCAUUUUUUUCCUUUAUGACCGCAUAAUGCAUUUGUAUCUCUGACUAAUUGUAACAUUUCAGCGUAUGGCCACAGAAUAAAGAAAAUUAACCAUAUAUGUCACUGAAGCUAUGGUUUUUAACGCAUUAGUAUCUUCAACAAACUGAGCAGCUAAAAAAUUAAGAGGUAUAGUUUAUCAUACAUUUCCAAAAUUUAAGUAAUUCUUCGAAUAUUUUAAUCAAAGGUGAACAUUUGAAACAAAGAAGUUUUAUGCAUCAAUGAUCAAUAUCCAUAUCAACAUGGUUUUAUAAUUUAUACUGUUUGGUGGAUAGCUGUGG